GAGUUUGAUUAUGGCUCAGGAUGAACGCUAGCGGGAGGCCUAACACAUGCAAGCCGAGCGGGAUUUGUUGGUUAGCUUGCUAACUAACAAUGAGAGCGGCGUACGGGUGCGUAACACGUGUGCAACCUGCCUUUAUCUGGGGGAUAGCCUUUCGAAAGGAAGAUUAAUACCCCAUAAUAUAUUGAUUGGCAUCAGUUAAUAUUGAAAGCUCCGGCGGAUAGAGAUGGGCACGCGUAAGAUUAGCUAGUUGGUGAGGUAACGGCUCACCAAGGCUGCGAUCUUUAGGGGGCCUGAGAGGGUGAUCCCCCACACUGGUACUGAGACACGGACCAGACUCCUACGGGAGGCAGCAGUGAGGAAUAUUGGACAAUGGGUGAGAGCCUGAUCCAGCCAUCCCGCGUGAAGGACUAAGGACCUAUGGUUUGUAAACUUCUUUUAUACAGGGAUAAACCUACUCUCGUGAGGGA
rnacentral:rRNA from 1 species